UAUACCUGAGGGUGAAAAUGCCCCGAGCAGCAAAGCGACGCAUCAUGAAGAGGCUGCUGGGCACUGUGCUGGCGCUUUUGUGCACCCCGAUUUGCUGUGUGAGAGGGGUGCAGGUGGAGCAGAGUCCCACAGCCCUGAGUCUCCAGGAGGGAGCCAGUUCUACGCUGAGGUGCAAAUUUUCCAACUCUGUGAACAAUGUGCAGUGGUUUCGCCAAAAUCCUGGGGGUGGUCUCAUCAACCUGUUUUACAUCCCUUCAGGGACAAAGGUGAAUGGAAGAUUAACCGCUAAAACAGACCCUAAAGAACGCAACAGCUCAUUGCAUAUUUCCUCUUCCCAGACCACAGACUCAGCCAUUUAUUUCUGUGCUGGGGAGCCACAGUGUUCCCCAGGCACCUGCAGCCUGUACACAAACCCUCAGCUGGGCUCAGCUCCUCCUCCAACCACAAUCACAUGACAAAAUCACCACACAGCCCUUGCACAG